UACGUAGGUGGCGAGCGUUGUCCGGAAUUACUGGGCGUAAAGCGCGCGCAGGCGGCUAUCCAAGUCAGUGGUGAAAGCCCGGAGCUCAACUCCGGAACUGCCAUUGAAACUGUUUAGCUUGAGGAUGAGAGAGGUGAGUGGAAUUCCCAGUGUAGAGGUGAAAUUCGUAGAUAUUCGCAAGAACACCAGUGGCGAAGGCGGCUCACUGGCCCGGUACUGACGCUGAGGUGCGAAAGCGUGGGGAGCAAACAGG
rnacentral:rRNA from 1 species